UCUCCGUUGGUGAACCAGCGGAGGGAUCAUUACUGAGUUAUUUACAACUCCCAACCCAUGUGAACUUAUCUCUUUGUUGCCUCGGCGCAAGCUACCCUGGAGUAACCUCCUGCGUAGCCCGCCGGUGGACAUACCAAACUCUGUUAUUUUGUAUCUUCUGAGCAAGUUUUUAAAUAAUCAAAACUUUCAACAACGGAUCUCUUGGUUCUGGCAUCGAUGAAGAACGCAGCGAAAUGCGAUACGUAAUGUGAAUUGCAGAAUUCAGUGAAUCAUCGAAUCUUUGAACGCACAUUGCGCCCAUUAGUAUUCUAGUGGGCAUGCCUGUUCGAGCGUCAUUUCAACCCUUACGCCAAGCGUAGUGUUGGGAAUCCACCGUGAAACGUGGUUCCUCAAAGUCAGUGGCGGAGCGGCAGUAGUCCUCUGAGCGUAGUAAUCUUUUAUCUCGCUUUUUAGGUGCUGUUGUUAUUGCCAUUAAACACCCAACUUCUUAGUGGUUGACCUCGGAUCAGGUAGGAAUACCCGCUGAACUUAA
rnacentral:rRNA from 1 species